AUGCCUUGUAUAUCUCGUACGCGUAGCAGCGUAGCACGAACAAGCCUAGCUCUAUUCCGCGAAAAAGCAGGGGUGCACAAUUUGCGGCCACCUUCCCGCUGUCCCUCCCACGUCGUUCAUAUAAGGCGCUGCCACCGGCACCGGCCGGGAAGCGCAGCGAUCGAACACGAGCCACAGCGAGAGGAGGGACCAGAAACCGGAGACCUACGGCCAUGGGAGGCAAGGCGAGGAGGCCCUGCGCGCUGCUGCUCGUUCUGCUCUGCAUGGCCGCGCGCAUCCAGGGCGCGUGCUGCCUUGGCGGAGGGCACGGAGGCGGAGUGGGCGGCGGAGGGCACGGAGGCGGAGUGGGCGGCGGAGGCCACGGAGGCGGAGUGGGCGGCGGAGGCCACGGAGGAGAAGCGGGCGGCGGAGGGCAUGGAGGAGGAGUGGCUGGCGGUGGCCACGAUGGCGGCGUUGGCGGCGGCGGAAGCGACGGAGAAGGUGACGGGACAGGAGGCGGCGGAAGCGGCGGCCGGAGGGGAGGCGGCGGCGGCGCUGCGAUUAUUCCGGGGGCGGGCGGACACAGCACGCCGGCUGGUUCUCGUGCCGGCCGCGGGGUCGGCUGGAGUGUUCCCGGCGCCGUUUCCCUCGCGGCCGCGGCGCUCGUCUGGUGGCUCUGAGCGUACGUACUCCACAACAAGCUAA
rnacentral:rRNA from 1 species